rnacentral:lncRNA from 1 species
UGUAAUAGAAGCUUGUACAAGAGAGUAGUGGCUUAAAGGAGACCAAAGAUGCUUGAUCCACAGAUACAAGGAUGAGGAGAAUUUUCCAAGUAGGUGACUGGGAGAGCACUCCAGGUAGAGGAAGCAGUAAAUUCAAAGGCACUGAGACAUGAACCACGUUUGGGUGAGUCUACACCCCUCUGGGCUACCACCCCUCACCUCAUGCUGUCUCCUGAAAAGGACUCUUCCCCUGGACUGAAACAGGCUUGGCACAUCACCUACAGGUAUCUGGGCAACCAGAUGAAUAAAUGAGGCUCCAGAGAUGAAGUAACAUACUCAAGGCAAGACUUUGUAAAGAAGCCCCUAAAAUGAUAGCAAACUCUGCAGGGGCUCAGGCCUUGAAGACACCAGGUGCAGGGAGAUGAGUACUUUGAAGAAGAAAGAAGCCAAGCCCAAGUACAGUUAGCCAUAGAACUGAGCUCCAUGCCUAUGCACUCUGCCUCUAGACUGAUGUAGGGCAAGUGAGCCCCCAAAUUGGGACUUAGACCGGAAGAGUUCUUGGCUUCACCCAGGAAAUAAUUCAAGGGUGAGUCGAUGGUUUAGACAGCAGCUUUUAUUGAAGUGGCAGUGUAUGGCAGCAACAGUAGUUUCCAUGCCUUCUCCAUGAGAAGAACAUCCCUGGGC